GCCCUUCGGGGUACACGAGCGGCGAACGGGUGAGUAACACGUGGGUAACCUGCCCUGUACUCUGGGAUAAGCCCGGGAAACUGGGUCUAAUACCGGAUAUGACACUUGAAGGCAUCUUCGGGUGUGGAAAGUUCCGGCGGUACAGGAUGGACCCGCGGCCUAUCAGCUUGUUGGUGGGGUAAUGGCCUACCAAGGCGACGACGGGUAGCCGGCCUGAGAGGGUGACCGGCCACACUGGGACUGAGACACGGCCCAGACUCCUACGGGAGGCAGCAGUGGGGAAUAUUGCACAAUGGGCGAAAGCCUGAUGCAGCGACGCCGCGUGAGGGAUGACGGCCUUCGGGUUGUAAACCUCUUUCAGCAGGGACGAAGCGCAAGUGACGGUACCUGCAGAAGAAGCACCGGCUAACUACGUGCCAGCAGCCGCGGUAAUACGUAGGGUGCGAGCGUUGUCCGGAAUUAUUGGGCGUAAAGAGCUCGUAGGCGGUUUGUCGCGUCGGCCGUGAAAACUUGGGGCUUAACCCCGAGCCUGCGGUCGAUACGGGCAGACUUGAGUUCGGCAGGGGAGACUGGAAUUCCUGGUGUAGCGGUGAAAUGCGCAGAUAUCAGGAGGAACACCGGUGGCGAAGGCGGGUCUCUGGGCCGAUACUGACGCUGAGGAGCGAAAGCGUGGGGAGCGAACA
rnacentral:rRNA from 2 species